CUCCAGCUUCCUCUUUGAUUUUUACCAUCAGGGUGUCCACCGGGGACUCUCGGCGGUGAAAAAAAAUCGCACAUUGUGUUCCUUCCAUAGCUCCCAAGUUCCUAAGAUGACAAGAGAGCGGGCCGAUUUAGAGGGUGUGCCUGGGGCUUUUCCAACAUGCUCCACCGUUCAUCGAUGGAUUGGCACUGAACCCAGCUUGCCGCCUGCGGGACGGUGCAGGUUGUCUAGCUAGUUUACUGCGUCCCAGAUGCGACGACAAAUGAGCAAGCAAGUGGACAUCGAUGUCUUGUAAGUUGUAGUCUAUUCAAGAGGAAGCAUAAACCCCUUCAUCUAUACCCUAUAUAAUACAUCAGUUCAAAUCUUUUCUAAAUUUACACAACCUUCUGCUCCUCUCCCGAUGAUCUUUGGAAUUCUAUUUCCUUAAAAUAAAAUGGUCAGACCUCUUCUAUCGUAUCUUCAUCAAAUCCAAUAACCCAAAACACUCUGAUUCAUCCACCACUCACGGCCCACAAUCGUUUCCCCUCCUCUCUGAGUCGCGAACACGCCGCUCCUCUCCCGAUUCGAUUGUAGACGCCUACUCCUGGCGCUCCCCCCCUCCUCCCGCUCCUCACGGCCGCCAACCUCGUCCUCGAGGAUGGCUACACCAUCACCAACGCCGGUCGGAGCCCUCCCCGCCGCCCCUGGCCGGAUCGGCCACCGACGGAGCUCUCCUGCUCGCUCCUGGCCGGCUCCGCCGCCCGCCCACCACUCCUCGGUCGGAUCCGCCGACCGCCCUCCACGCCCCGGCCGGAUCCGCCUCUACCACAGCCGAUUCCGCCUCCGCUCUGGCCGGAUCCGCCCCGGACACGCCGCUCCUCUCCCGACUCGUGCUGCUCAUUCCCUCCAAUCCGUGACACUGCACCGCUGCGCUUCUCCUCCCGGCUCGUGCUGCGGUUAAAUAAGCAAGUAAUGGAGCGGCCGCCGCCUUCGAGGCUGCUGCUCCAUGUGCUCUUCUUGGUCGCCGUUUCUGGGCCGCUAGCGAGCGCAGCAGGGAUUGGAGGCUUAGAAACUGGUCUGGGGAGCAAUGGAGCGAGCAGUCCUUGCAUUAGUAUGAGUUCGUUGACCUUCGUUUAGUUCUAGGUGAGCGCUCAGAUUCUGAGGAUUAGAUCUUUAGUUUCUAACUUCCGAGAAAUGAGCACAGUUCUAGAUAUGCACCGUGUGUAAUUCCUGUUACUGGAAUUUGGGAAUAGAGGCUUAGAUGCUUUUAGUGUUAGCCGAUAAUCAUACAUGGUUGAUAAAUGGAAAAAAAGUUAUCAGUUUGGUUUCUUUCCCCUUCAAAAUGGCCAUAAUCAUGUACACAUUGUACGUGACUCUGAACUAAAUUGGUGUUCGUUGUGCAUUAGGGAUUGACUAGGAAUCUAGGAUGUAGUAGUAGCAGCUUCUUUUGUAGUGGUAAACUGGUGAUUCUUUUCUUUUUUUAAGAAUCGGAGUUAUACUGAUAGAAUUGGCAGCCUUUUUUUUUUUGAAAAAAACUUGUGUCGUGCUUCUCUUUGUACUGAAGUAGUAACAAAUUUUCUAGCAUUCAUGAAUCAUGUAGCAUUAUUUGUGGCACAUGUUUUCAUUUUAGAAAGCUUUGGAGUUGAAAUCAUAGAGUGAUGGAUAGUUAGGUCGUAUAACGCGAGUGCAUCUCUUAUUUUUCAAAUUAAACUAUAAAACUUAUUUUUCAUGUAGCCUAAAUUCGGGUUUGGAAAUAAAAAUCUAAAACCAAUUUGGAACGUAUUUUGUUGUAGUGACAUGUCUUGUGUUUGUAUGUUUCGUUGACCUAAAUACCUUGCAUUUUUUUGGUUUAGUCUUUUCCAUUGUAGCUCGUCGUGUUUCACUCUGUAAACUAUAUUACCUCGUGUAUAUUUUUGACUCCUGUUGCAAUGCACGGGCAUGUAAUUAUCUAUGUAUAUACUUGAUGUCAUCUUGUGUAAAUUUUAUUUUUGUUGCAGCACACAGGUACUCAACUAUUAGAUGAAAUGUACAUUUCCAUCACAGUCUACUGUCAAGCAAAAAUAUAUGUAUGCAAGUUUGUAUGUGAAUACCUUUUCAUAUCAGUGAACAGAAUAUUAUAGAACCACAACCUACUUUUUUUCACUGCUUUUUACAGGUUCUUUGUAGUAUCUGCCUUGGCUGGGUUUUACUGAAUCGCCAUUGUUUUUUCAUUUCUUGUCAUGGAUAGUCCCAUACUAUUUUUUCUUAUAAGGUUCCUCUUUCCUUUUUGUUAA